rnacentral:rRNA from 1 species
GAACGCUAGCGGCAGGCUUAACACAUGCAAGUCGAGGGGCAUCGGGAGUAGCAAUACUGCCGGCGACCGGCGCAAGGGUGCGUAACGCGUGAGCAACAUGCCCGUAUCAGGGGGGAUAAUCCAUGGAAACGUGGUCUAAUACCCCAUAGUAAUUAUGUAAGGCAUCUUAUAUAAUUUAAAGCUUUGGUGGAUACGGAUUGGCUCGCGUGGCAUUAGCUGGAUGGUAAGGUAACGGCUUACCAUGGCUACGAUGUCUAGGGGUUCUGAGAGGAAGGUCCCCCCACACUGGAACUGAGACACGGUCCAGACUCCUACGGGAGGCAGCAGUGAGGAAUAUUGGACAAUGGAUGGAAAUCUGAUCCAGCCAUGCCGCGUGCAAGGAAGACGGCCCUAUGGGUUGUAAACUGCUUUUGUAUGGGAGCAAUAAGGGCUACGUGUAGUCCGAUGAGAGUACCAUACGAAUAAGCACCGGCUAACUCCGUGCCAGCCGCUGC